rnacentral:lncRNA from 1 species
GACACCGUGGUUUCUGUUGCACAGUGGAAGACCCCGUGGCAAGGCUCCAGCCUUCCCAAAUGGAUUCCUCUCAGCACAGCCUGGCUCUAUAGAACCAAGGCAUCAGCUAGGCUGGGAGCCUCACUCAAGAGGACCUGCCAUCAGCAAGAAGAGCCUGUGUCACAGACCGAGGUCCUCCAGGGACUCAGAAGCCCGGGUCCUCCAGGACUUGGCCUGAGGCACCUUUGCCUCUAUCUGCCCAGAGGCCUUCUCCCUCUCCGCUCUCCUCCUGCCAGCUCUGGUGGGACCUGGCACAGAUUCAUCCUGCAGUCUGGAGUCAGAUCUCAAAAAACUGCCUUCCUGGGGAGACAAGCACCUGAGAACCGACGAGCCACCUUUUCCAACAGUCAUGUUGUUCUCCGAGAUCUUAAUCUCUCCUGGCCAGCUAUGCUGGAAAAAGCUUCUAGGCGAAACUCGAUCUUUCUGAGCAAAGCUGGGGCUGUCCUUCCGCCUAUUCGUCUAUGCCAAAGGUGUGUUUUGCCUGGGGAGAAGCACCUCCUUGUGGUGGUGGUCAGCCUACAGCUACCCAAAGCUCACAGAAUCGGUGUGAGUCCUCAUUUCCUCUGCCUGUGGGGAGUGCCCGGCUGACCCUGGGCAUGAGGAUUCAGUGAGGGCCUCCCAGCUGCCCUUUGCUUGGAGGAGGAUGUGGGGGGGGUGGGGAGAGGGAAGAAGCUUGUAGUUCUACAUUGGCAGCAGCUUUCCAGGCAAGUAGGUCACUGUGUGAUCUUGGCCAUGCUUUCUAAUGGUCUAAGGCCUUAGUAUAGGUGUCUGUAAUCUGCUGUCAGUAGAACUGCUGGGGCCAACGCCAAGAUACCUGCUAACCAAAGGGCUUUGGGCAAGAACUCCAGGAGCUUCAGCUAGCCAUUCAAUCACUCAUUGUCUGGCGGGGCAUGUGGCUUAGUUGAUAGAGUGUUUGCUUGAUGUUCAAGAAGCCCGGUUUGAUCCCCAGGACCUCAUAGAUCAGGCAUUGUAGUGCACACCUAUAAUCCUAGGACUUGGGAGGCAGGAGAAUCAGGAGUUCAAGAUUAUCUUCUGCUGCAUAGCAGUUCUGAGACCAUCCCACAAUAAAACCAACUCAAAAACCCA